rnacentral:rRNA from 1 species
GCUUACGGCCAUACCACCCUGAGCACGCCUGAUCUCGUCUGAUCUCGGAAGCUAAGCAGUGUCGGGCCUGGUUAGUACUUGAAUGGGAGACCGCCUGGGAAUACCAGGUGCUGUAAGCU